UACGAAGGGGGCUAGCGUUGUUCGGAAUUACUGGGCGUAAAGCGCGCGCAGGCGGCUAUCCAAGUCAGUGGUGAAAGCCCGGAGCUCAACUCCGGAACUGCCAUUGAAACUGUUUAGCUUGAGGAUGAGAGAGGUGAGUGGAAUUCCCAGUGUAGAGGUGAAAUUCGUAGAUAUUGGGAAGAACACCGGUGGCGAAGGCGGCCUUCUGGACAGUGACUGACGCUGAGACGCGAAAGCGUGGGGAGCAAACAGG
rnacentral:rRNA from 1 species